rnacentral:rRNA from 1 species
GGGCGUCACAGUCUACCGACACCAAUCGAACUCAGAAUGCCAUCCGCCAACGCAUGGGAGUGAGACUGUGUGCUCCAAGGUUCAUAGUCGAGAGGGAAACAGCCCGGACCGGCAUCUAAGGUCCCUAAAUAAUGCUAAGUGUAAAAUGAAGUGCGGAUGCACAGACAGCCAGGAGGUUGGCUUAGAAGCAGCCAUUCCUUAAAAGAGUGCGUAACAGCUCACUGGUCGAGCAUCCGGGCGCAGACAAUGUAACGGGGCUAAGCAUGGCACCGAAGCCGCGGGGGCAAAGCGAUUUCAGUUUUGCCCGGUAGGGGAGCAUUCCAUGGACCUGUGAAGGCGUACCCGCGAGGGGCGCUGGAGGGGAUGGAAGAGAGAAUGCAGGCAUGAGUAACGAAAAGACGGGUGAGAUCCCCGUCCGCCGAAAACCUAAGGUUUCCGGGGUAAAGGCAAUCUUCCCCGGGUAAGUCGGCCCCUAAGGCGAGGGGGAAACCCGUAGCCGAUGGGAACCCGGUUCAUAAUCCGGGACCUGUCAUGUUGCGAUGCCGUGACGCAUGAGGUGAAGUCCGGCCGGAGAACGGUAGUUCCGGUCGAAGCUGCAAGUCUGCGAGGGAGGGGUUAAAUGACCUUCUGAGACGAGCGGUGACAGCGAGGCGAGGGAAGCUGAGCCGAAGCGGACGUAGCCACGGUGACAAGAAACAGCGGCUAGCAUAGGCAUGACGGACCGUACCGUAGACGGACACACGUGGGUGGGAUGAGCAAUCUAAGGCGCUCGAGCGAACUCGCGUCAAGGAACUCGGCAAAAUGCGCACGUAACUUCGGGAGAAGUGCGGCUCCGGUUUGAAAGGACACGGAGCGGCAGAAAGCGGGCCCAGGCGACUGUUUAUCAAAAACACAGCCAUCUGCGAACCAGCAAUGGGACGUAUAGGUGGUGACACCUGCCCGGUGCCGGAAGGUUAAGAGGAGAGGUUAACAGCAAUGUGAAGCUUUGAAUUGAAGCCCCGGUAAACGGCGGCCGUAACUAUAACGGUCCUAAGGUAGCGAAAUUCCUUGUCGGGUAAGUUCCGACCCGCACGAAUGGUGUAACGUAUCUGGGCACUGUCUCAACGCGAGGCUCGGUGAAAUUUAUAUACCGGUAAAGAAGCCGGUUACCCAUAGUUAGACGGAAAGACCCCGUGAACCUUCACCGCAACUUAUUAUUGGGACUUGGUUUAUCAUGUGUAGAAUAGGUGGGAGGCUAUGAAGCUUGACCGUUAGGUUGGGUGGAGCCGAAAAGUGAAAUACCACCCUUGAUAAAUCAGGUUUCUAACCUGUCCCGUGAAACCGGGAUAGGGACAGUGAUAGGCAGGCGGUUUGACUGGGGCGGUCGCCUCCUAAAGAGUAACGGAGGUGCGCGAAGGUCUCCUCACGCCGGUUGGAAAUCGGCGCAGCGAGUGUAAAGGCACAAGGAGGCUUAACUGCGAGAGUGACAGCUCAAGCAGAUACGAAAGUAGGUCUUAAUGAUCUGGCGGUAGCGAGUGGAAGCGCCGUCACUUAACGGAUAAAAGGUACUCCGGGGAUAACAGGCUGAUUUUCCCCAAGAGUUCACAUCGACGGGAAAGUUUGGCACCUCGAUGUCGGCUCAUCGCAUCCUGGGGCUGGAGCAGGUCCCAAGGGUUUGGCUGUUCGCCAAUUAAAGCGGUACGUGAGCUGGGUUCAGAACGUCGCGAGACAGUUCGGUCCCUAUCUGCUAUGGGCGUUGGAUAUGUGAGAGGAGCUGCUUUUAGUACGAGAGGACCGAAGUGGACGAACCUCUGGUGUACCAGUUAUCCUGCCAAGGGUAAGUGCUGGGUAGCUAUCGUUCGGAAGGGAUAACCGCUGAAGGCAUCUAAGCGGGAAGCCCACCUCAAGAUUACAUAUCCCUCGGGGUUUAACCCCGCUAAAGACUCCUUGCACACUACAAGGUUGAUAGGUUGCAGGUCUAAGCAUAGUAAUGUGUUAUAGCCGAGCAAUACUAAUAAGUCGUGAGGCUUGACC